GACGAACGCUGGCGGCGUGCCUAACACAUGCAAGUCGAGCGGGGGGAGCAGCAAUGCGAACCUAGCGGCGGACGGGUGAGUAACGCGUGGGUAACCUGCCUACCACAGGGGGAUAACACAGGGAAACUUGUGCUAAUACCGCAUAACAUCAUAUUGUGGCAUCACAGUGUGAUCAAAGGAGCAAUCCGGUGGAAGAUGGACCCGCGUCCGAUUAGCUAGUUGGCGGAGUAAAAGCCCACCAAGGCGACGGUCGGUAGCCGAACUGAGAGGUUGAUCGGCCACAUUGGGACUGAGACACGGCCCAGACUCCUACGGGAGGCAGCAGUGGGGAAUAUUGCGCAAUGGGGGGAACCCUGACGCAGCAACGCCGCGUGAAGGAUGAAGGCCUUCGGGUUGUAAACUUCUUUAGCCAGGGAAGAAGAAUGACGGUACCUGGAAAAUAAGCCACGGCUAACUACGUGCCAGCCGCCGCCGUAACAC
rnacentral:rRNA from 1 species